UAAAACUCAUCUACGGCCAUGAAUGAGCAUGAUCUCAUCUGAUCUCGGAAGCUGAGCAGGAUUGGGCCUGGUUAGUACUUGGAUGGGAGACCACCUAGGAAGACCAGGUGCUCUGUCUGUC
rnacentral:rRNA from 1 species